rnacentral:rRNA from 1 species
GUGGGGAAUAUUGGACAAUGGGCGCAAGCCUGAUCCAGCCAUGCCGCGUGUGUGAAGAAGGCCUUUUGGUUGUAAAGCACUUUAAGCGAGGAGGAGGCUCCUUUAGUUAAUACCUAAAGAGAGUGGACGUUACUCGCAGAAUAAGCACCGGCUAACUCUGUGCCAGCAGCCGCGGUAAUACAGAGGGUGCGAGCGUUAAUCGGAUUUACUGGGCGUAAAGCGCGCGUAGGUGGUUAAUUAAGUCAAAUGUGAAAUCCCCGAGCUUAACUUGGGAAUUGCAUUCGAUACUGGUUAGCUAGAGUAUGGGAGAGGAUGGUAGAAUUCCAGGUGUAGCGGUGAAAUGCGUAGAGAUCUGGAGGAAUACCGAUGGCGAAGGCAGCCAUCUGGCCUAAUACUGACACUGAGGUGCGAAAGCAUGGGGAGCAAACAGGAUUAGAUACCCCGGUAGUCC